CCGUUGUGACGCGGAGGAUCAUUACCGAGUUUACAACUCCCAAACCCAUGUGAACAUACCUACUGUUGCUUCGGCGGGAUUGCCCCGGGCGCCUCGUGUGCCCCGGAUCAGGCGCCCGCCUAGGAAACUUAAUUCUUGUUUUAUUUUGGAAUCUUCUGAGUAGUUUUUACAAAUAAAUAAAAACUUUCAACAACGGAUCUCUUGGUUCUGGCAUCGAUGAAGAACGCAGCGAAAUGCGAUAAGUAAUGUGAAUUGCAGAAUUCAGUGAAUCAUCGAAUCUUUGAACGCACAUUGCGCCCGCCAGUAUUCUGGCGGGCAUGCCUGUCUGAGCGUCAUUUCAACCCUCAUGCCCCUAGGGCGUGGUGUUGGGGAUCGGCCAAAGCCCGCGAGGGACGGCCGGCCCCUAAAUCUAGUGGCGGACCCGUCGUGGCCUCCUCUGCGAAGUAGUGAUAUUCCGCAUCGGAGAGCGACGAGCCCCUGCCGUUAAACCCCCAACUUUCCAAGGUUGACCUCAGAUCAGGUAGGAAUACCCGCUGAACUUAAGCAUAUCAUAA
rnacentral:rRNA from 1 species